GUGGAUGGUCAACUGGAGGUGGAGGAGGUGGAUGGCCAACUGGUGGAGGUGGAGGAGGUGGUUGGCCAAGUGGUGGAGGUGGUGGAGGAUGGGAUGAUGAAAGCGGAGUAGAAGACUGGUGGUGAGAUCACAGUACCCUUGAAGAUUUGCAGCACGAAGUCCUCGAUAUCCUAUGCUUAGAGAACUCACCUUAUGGAAAUCUGUGCCCAGAAGAAUUCAAAAAGAAAUAAAUGGGUAUUGAAUCCACGGCCUCCGGCUGGAACGGAGUUUUUAUAGCUGAUUUUUCAAUUUUGCGAAAAAAAAUAUAUAAAGUUAAUUAUGUCUUAGCUCGCAGUGCUUCUGCUAAUAGCGUGCAUCGAUAUAGAAUGUGAAACACUGUCUGUACUUAAUAUUUUUGUAAUAAAAAGAGCUUUAUCGAUAAUUUA